CCUACGGGAGGCAGCAGUGAGGAAUAUUGGUCAAUGGGCGCAAGCCUGAACCAGCCAAGUCGCGUGAGGGAGGACGGCCCUACGGGUUGUAAACCUCUUUUGCCGGGGAGCAAGGGGCGUCACGUGUGGCGCCACUGAGAGUACCCGGAGAAAAAGCAUCGGCUAACUCCGUGCCAGCAGCCGCGGUAAUACGGAGGAUGCGAGCGUUAUCCGGAAUUAUUGGGUUUAAAGGGAGCGUAGGUGGGGUGUUAAGUCAGUUGGGAAAGUUUGGGGCUCAACCGUAGAAUGGCAAUUGAUACUGGCAGUCUUGAGUACAGUUGAGGCAGGCGGAAGUCGUGGUGUAGCGGUGAAAUGCUUAGAUAUCACGAAGAACGCCGAUUGCGAAGGCAGCUUUCU
rnacentral:rRNA from 1 species